rnacentral:rRNA from 1 species
CCUACGUGAGGCAGCAGUGAGGAAUAUUGGUCAAUGGGCGCAGGCCUGAACCAGCCAAGUCGCGUGAGGGAAGACUGCCCUAUGGGUUGUAAACCUCUUUUAUAAGGGAAGAAUAAUGACUACGUGUAGUCAGCUGCCAGUAACUUAUGAAUAAGCAUCGGCUAACUCCGUGCCAGCAGCCGCGGUAAUACGGAGGAUGAGAGCGUUAUCCUGAGUUAUUGGGGUUAAAGGGUGCGUAGGCGGGAUUUUAAGUGAUUGGUAAAACGUCGGGGCUUCACCUUGAGUGGCCAUUAAAACUGGAGUACUAGAGGAAAGACGAGGUAGGCGGAAUAAGUUAAGUAGCGGUGAAAUGCUUAGAUAUAACUUAGAACCCCGAUAGCGAAGGCAGCUUACCAGACUGUUACUGACGCUGAAGCACGAGAGCGUGGGUAGCGAACAGGAUAGAUACCCGUGUAGUC